AGAAGGGGCCAGAGAUGCAAUGCAGUUCUCUUGACAGGCAGAAGACCACAAAGAGCACAUGGAGGAAGGGAAUUGCUAGUAAAUAAAGGUUAGUUUUGUGAAUUAAAGAAAGAAACAGAAACAAAAGAGAUCUCAUUAAAGAGAGGAACAACUAGCGUGCACAAGACGAGAGGUGUAGCUUGUGGUGAUGGCUGAGAAGAGGAGCUUAAGAAGGAGCAAAGAGGCAGAGAAACUUGGACAGCGAAGAGAAGAGACUACGUACCCUGAAAAAGAAAGGAAAAUUAGGUUUACAUGAGUUCAAGGGGAGAAGUUCAUCAAAGAGAAAUCCACAGAGAUUAAGAACAUAGUGACUGCAGUAUUUGCAAGAAGUUGCUGAGCAAAAAUUGUUGGAAGAGGACACAAGUGGAAAGCAUCGCAUACUUCUGCUGAAUUUUAUUCCUCCUUGAGUACCUAUUCUGGCUGCUGAUGGAGACAAGAUACUGAAUUAUGAACUUUCAGCCUGCCUUGGCCCCUACUUAACUGGGUUUGAGCCUUGAAUGGAAGCAGAGUCUCAGUAACAGCAGGAAAAUAUUAAUUUUUGGUUUGUAUUACAAUAGAUUUGAGAUGCCCACGAAGAUUAGUAUCCUAUUGUCUUGGGUGUUUUUCGUCUUAGACAAAGUAAUAGACAGUCCCUGGUCUGUACUGCUUAAAACAUCAAAUGUAGGCUGAGAAGAGAAACUAUUUACCCAGCUCAUGUGCCAGGCUGGCAGCCAGUGCUGGGGGCUGGCAGUGAAUUCCCUCAUGAGUUAAUGCCUCUGGGGCUACAUGGUUCCAUCUGCCUCAUAGGAACAUCCCAAAACCAUGCUCCAGUUGUAACAGAGCUUGUGAUGAUGUUGAUAAUAGCCACUUUGGAUUCUGCAGUUAGUGCUUGUAAAAUUGGGUUUUAACCAUUUGCCUUCAUGUCUAAACCAGAAAAUGACUGCUUACAUCCCCACUCUUGCUUCAUGAAAUUAUUGGAUGGCAAAUAGUCUGUUUCUGACUUCCGUGAAGCAGGAAAGGAAGAGAGGUGGCAGGUUUGAGAGAGUAUGCUUGUGUUUCAAAUGGUAUCUAUUGUCUUCUUUGCUGAUCUGUUGCUAAAGGAUGCCAAACUUCAUUUCUGUUCCCAGAUGUUGAGCGGCUGAGAGAUGAGAUCAUGCUGUCUGAGGGUCAUUUGCAGAUAUAUCACCUUUUUGCAAAUUCUUUGCAUGUUAUUUUUCAUGACCAAAAAAAUGUCUGAAAGAACUACUGGUGGUCCAGAUUAACUGUAAACAUGGAGUUCGUCUCAACAUAAGCCUGAAAAUGAGGGAAAUAUCCUUAAGUUUAAAGUUGUGUUAUAAUUUCAGGCCUGAUAAGGACUUCAAGGAGGUCCAUUGAAUACUUAGUGAAUGGCUGUAGUGAAGAGCUCCAAAACAGCUGAAAAAAAUGACUUAUUUGGCAUUCGGCACAAAUUCUUCUGAAGUAUUAUUGCUGAAAAUGGCAGUUUUAUUUAAAUAGAACGCUUCAAGGGGAAUGAUAUUUUUCAUAUGCAAUAAACAGUUGUAGGAUCUGAAAUACUAACCCAAGUCAUAUAAGCAGCUUCUCAAAGUUUGACUUAGUUCUAGCCAAGACUUCUGAAUCAUGUUUAAUGCUUUCAGAGUUAAGCUCUUGUAAGGUGCUCUAAAGUGAGAUCCAUAAAAUUAAUUUCUUUCCAUGAAAAAUAAUGAGGAAAAAUUACCAAAACCUGUAUUUCUGAAGCAGUGGUGGCAUUUAACAGGUAUGCAGCAAGGAGGAUUGAUCUGGGAUUUUUCUACUGAAGGAAAUGUUGACUCCAUAGAAGAAGGAAAAACUUUGUGCCGAAAUGAUAUGAACCAUUGUGUUGUUUUGGCUGUUACUUCAGUCUUCAGUUUUUAGCAGUCAUGAGAGCUGGUAUUUUCUGUGAUACAUCCCAUCACAUGAAAUACUUCUUCAUCUUCCUGUUUCCACAGGAAAUCUACAGCCAGAAUGUAAUACCGGGUGUGAUUCUUCCCUAACUUCCACUCCACUGAUAUUGUCUGAGUGGCAGGGGUAGAUCUAUUUUUGGUAAAACUCAAAUCAUCAAGGAUUAGCUUUUCUGCCAUAGUGAAGUGAGAAGCAGGCUGGAGAAGGCUGCAAUGCAUAUUUUCGUAAGAGAUGUUAUGCUCUGGGGGGAAGGUUGUAUCCACAGGAUACGGAGGCAAAGAGGAUCACUUCCCCCAUGGCAAAGUUAUCUCUUUUUUGGAAAGCGUCCCUCCCCUGUGUCCUGACAGGACUUGGGUCAUGCUCCAAAUUCCAUCCUGUCCCUCUGCUUCCUGCCCUUUCACCCAUCACCAGAGUGAUAAAACACCCGUCCAGAAGCAUUGCGGAACUAAUUGCUCCGCUAUACUUUGAAAAAUAAAAAGUAAUGUU
rnacentral:lncRNA from 7 species